rnacentral:lncRNA from 1 species
CUUGAUCUUGCUACGAUUUGCUGUGUCUUUUCUUCAUCUUGUCAUCUUAAAAGGAAGUCAUUUGUCGUAAUCUCCCUCUCAUUUGUUUGCUAUCGAUCUUUCAAAAUUUCGGUAUCUUGAAAUCGAUCUUCCUCCACCAUUACCAUUGACAACACCAAAUGUUACUAUCGCUUUGUCUACAUGCAUUAACUAACGCAAGGCCACAAAACUGAAGUAAUGAAAGUAAAGUAGACCUCUGUAAGGCUUCAAAUAAUUUUAAUUUUACUAAACCCUAAACCCUUUUAAUUUUAAUCUGCUCUCUGACUUCAGUGGCAGCUGCAAAGCUUAAGGAGGAGGUGGUGGGCCUGGCGAUGGCAGAUGCCACUAAGGAGAUGGAAUUCGCACAAAAGUUUGAUGUUCUGGGUUUUCGACACUGUACUUCUAUGUUGAUGGGGGUGUAUAAACCCUAUCCUAGUAAACAAACCAAGUAAGUUUUUCAUGUCUAUAUAGGAUGAAUCUCAUGUAUUUACGAUUUCAUACAUGAAGAUGAAUGAAUAAACAUGGUUUUAUUGCGUGGAUAUUUUUAUUUGUAUUAUGUGCAUUUAGGGACGGAACGAGAGUAAGAAUCUAGGAUGGACUAAUUGUUAGAAAAAUGUCCAUCAUAAUACGAAAUACUAGAUUACCCUUCCUCAUGGCGAUAACGUUUUGAUUUUAAUCUUAUUUGUUUAGUUUUUGCAUCUAACAGUUCUAUAGAAUGUUAGAGACUAAUACUUUUUAAAGUAGAAUGAAUUAUUUAAAUUGUAUUCAAUUUACAGGUUCUUAUGUUGUUAGAACUGGAUGUUCAAUAGACUAAACUGCUCGUUUUCAUGAUUUAUAUUGUAGAGAUGCAAUAAUUAAUUGGGUGAACAAGAAAACAAUCCCCGCUUUGUAUAACAUCACACCGACAGAGGAGGCUGAACACAUCUUGGUUGUAGAAGAAAAAAUAGUAUUUGGUUAUUUAGAGAGCUUGGUGGUAUGACUUCUAUUGCUGUUCAAAUUGUUGUAGUAUUUUAGAGAGUGUAUUUACUACUCAUUUGCCCAAAAUAUUAGAUGAACUUGUGGAUGCUUCGAAGCUGGAAGAUGAUGUUAGCUUCUAUCAGAUGACGAGUCCUGAUGUAGCAAAACUCUUCCAUAAUGAUCCCAAAGACAAACGUCUUGGUCAUUAUUAAAAAAGAAGCUGAAAAAGUUAACUACUUUGGUUAGUUACCUUGGUAUUUAUUCAUUUUGGCAGUCAAAAUUUCUUUAACAUCACUUUGAAUAAUAAUCUCUUAUUUAUACAGACAGUCAGUUCAAUAAAUCAUCAAUUGCUGAAUUUGUGUUUGAGAAAUAAAUUCAUCUCGUCACCAACUUUACUCGAGAAAGUAAGUUCAAUUCUAUUGUGAUGAUAUAGAUGGUGGAAACAAUGUUGAACAUUUUUAUUUAUUGUAAGAAAUAUUCAUCUGGAUGUCAUUCUUGUUGGUAUAUGCUUCUCUAUAUAUUUGAUACAUUACUUCUAUUGGGCUGUGAUGCCAAAUAAAUAUUUGUGUGUCCAGCCCAUUUGGACAAUGAUGAUAUUAAAAGGUCCAAUAGAUACUACCCAGCCCAUUGCCCAAUAAUUCAAUGUUGAAAGCAAUUGAAACCCGGCCCAAACCCAAUAACCCACGUGUGUCGCUCUGGACCCUUUGAUCUACUUAACCUAACAUCUACGGUGAUGCCCUAUUAAUAUAUAAACGGGGUCUGAGUCUUUUUGCCCUAAUUCGAGUCAUAUUUUACUUUGCCUCUUCGUGAUAUUUUCUCUCAAACCUUCUGGGUUUCUCUCUUCGUGACUCUAUGUCUUCUAUCUCUUCUCCUUCUUCAUGAAUCUUGUGAUUUAGCCACUAAACCUUUGGUUUUCUGGCCACUAUGUGUGCUUCUAGUCCGUGUGACUGUUCGGAUGUGAUUUGUGGAGAGUUUCUUGUUCGUGUUUGAGUGAUUUGGGUCCAUUGUAGUGACUACCUCUGUGUUUGUGGUUUGGGACUGUGGUUUAUGAGUUUUCACAUUGAACAGACGGGUACAAUGCGUGAUCUGAGCCCGAAUCGAUGAAAAUCUUGAUGUCUUUGGUUUGAGAGUUUUCGGUCAUUUGUUGAGUCAGUUUUGUGCCUUUUCUUGUAACAGUGGUAUCAGAGCCUUUAAGGCCGUUCGAGUCCUUGUCUCCGACGACCGGUCGUGAGAAAUUAAUUUUCACGAUCGAAUUUUAUGGGAGACGAACAAUCGGCUACGGAUCUUGAUUCCUUUUAUGGUUUCUUGUGUUUUACUUGGUGAAUUGACUUUGUUGUUAGUGGUUCUUGCAGAAAACAUUGAUUUCGAAUUCCACUUUUUGAACUGGCUUGAAAGAAAUUGAGCCUCCUGUGUUCUACUCGAUCUGCCGGUCGAAUUCUCUAACUCAUUUAAGCCUUUUAAUUGAAAUACAUGAUUUAUUGCUUAGUGUCCAGAAUUUGUGUAUUUCUUGCGAUGAUUGUGCUCUGAAAUUUUUUGGAAUAUUGCAUAAUAUACUUUGUUUUAAAGUGUUCUGCAUGUGUUUAAUCUUGGUGAUUAAUUCCUGAUUUCAGUAUAAAAUCUAUUGAUUAAUCUUUGUGAUUAAUUUUUUGAUCCAUGUAGUCUACAUAUUAAUCUUUGUGAUUGUUAAUUGACAAUUUGUCUUUAACCCUGUACACUUUGCACUGCACUACUGUGUUCUUUGGGUUGACCCUUGACCUGAGGUCUUUGAGCCUCAAAGAAUCCUGGUGAACCCAAGACACAAUACUGCAUAUUGAAGUGUUUUUUAUUCCUCUGAUUGGUUACUGUUUUUGUUAAUAUUCGCUGUGUUAUAUCCCCUGAUAGUUUUCAUACUGUGUGUGAUACUUUGUGAUUGUCAUACAUCCUGUGAAAUAUCUUCUUGUUCCUUCUGGUUGAACUUUAACCCUCAAAAGCUUUUCUUAUAUUGAUUAAAAACUUCAAAUGACAACGGGAACGUUUGAACUUGGGGUUUUUAAUGGAAAAAGAGAUUUCCCCAUUUGUCAGCAAAAAAUGAGGGGGGUUCUUGUUCAACAGAAAGUGUCUAAAACUAUAACUGGUGAAUAUCCUGCUAUAACUGGUGAAUAUCCUGCUACUAUGACUGAUGAACAAAAGACUGAAUCUGAUGAUCUUACCUAUACUUCCAUUAUUCUUCACUUGUCUGAUCCAGUAUUAAGAAAGGUUGGAAAAUUGGAUAAUGCAAAAGUCUUAUGGGAUAAGCUUGAGGAACUUUGUUUGAUAAAAUCAUUACCAAAUAAACUAUUUCUAUUGGAAAGAUUUUUCAGCUUCAAAAUUAAUAUGUCCCGAGACUUAGAUGAUAACCUUGACAUUUUUAAUAGACUGGUACAAGAUAUAACUAAUGCUGGGGAUAAAGUAUCUGAAGAAUAUAAGGCUGUAAUUUUGUUAAAUUCCAUACCUGAAGUGUAUAAAGAUGUUAAGACAGCUAUUAAGUAUGGUAGAGAGUCUUUAACACCUGAGAUAGUGAUUGAUGCUUUAAGAAGCAAGGAUUUGGAAGUUAGAUGUGAGAGACAUGGCAAUGAAAGUGAGAACCUAUUUGUAAGAGGUAGAUUACUGAUCAGAUCUAGUAAUAAUCAGGGUAACGAAAGGAAUCAAGGAAAUAAUACCUUUAGGAAGAAGGGAAAGGGUAGACAAAUGUCAAAGUCUAGAAAUAGUGCUAGAAAAUGUUAUGGUUGUAGCAAAACAGGGCAUUACAUCGAAGACUGUUAUAAAAGGAAAAUUGAGCAAAGAGAGGUUAAAAUUGAUGAAGGAAAUAUUGUUGAGCCUCUAGAUAAGGGUACCGUUGACGUCUAUGUUGUGACUGAGUCCACAUCUGAUUUGAACUCUGCAAAUUAUGCAGAUAAUUCAAGUCAGAGUGGAGAGUGGAUCUUAGAUUCAGGUUGUACCUUUCAUAUGACAUCUAAAAAGCAUUGGUUGCUUGAUUUUAAGGACUUCGAUGGAGGUGAGGUUGUUAUGGGUAAUAAUGCAGCCUGUAAAGUGUUAGGGAUAGGCAGUGUGACUUUAAAAUUUGAUAAUGGGUACACCUUUACCUUAGAAAGGGUGAGGUAUGUACCAGAUUUAAAUAGAAAUCUGAUUUCAGUUGGGAACUUAGAUGACAUAGGUCUCCAAGGAAAAUUUGGAGAUGGUUUCUUGAAAAUAGUUAAAGGAUCCUUAGUUAUUUUCAAGGGUAUUAAAAGAAAUGGAAUCUAUGUCACUAAGGCUAAUAUUUUGAUUCACAGUGCAGAAUCCUUUAUGGCUGAGAGUGAUGCUACAUUGAAAUGGCAUAAUAGGUUAGCCCAUGUGAGUGAGAAAUGUUUACAAAUCUUAAGUAAGAAGGGUGCCUUUGGUAGUGAUGUAAUUUCUAAAAUUUCCUUUUGUGAAUAUUGUUCCUUAGGCAAACAACAUAGACUUCACUUUAGUACGGGAAAACAUAAGACUACAUCUAUCUUAGAGUAUAUACAUUCUAAUUUGUGAGGUCCAUCAUCCACCACCUCUCAAGGUGGGAAUAGGUAUUUUUUAUCCUUAAUUGAUGAUUUUUCAAAAAAAGUAUGGGUAUUUCUUUUGAAACAAAAAUCAGACACUUUUGAAAAAUUUAAAACUUGGAAAACUUUGAUUGAAAAUCAAAUGGAUAAAAAGAUUAAAAUUUUAAGGACAUAAUGUAUUAGAAUUUUGUAAUACUGAUUUUGAAAAAUUGUGUAUGGAUGAUGGUAUUCUAAGACAUAAAACAGUACCAUAUACUCCACAACAGAAUGGUAUAGCUGAAAGGAUAAAUAGGACAAUCUUAGACAAGGUUAGAUGUAUGAUGUUUAGUUCAGGUGUCCCUAAAGUGUUGUGGGGGGAGGUUGUUAUGACAGCAGUUUAUAUCAUAAAUAGGACCCCAACUAGUGCAUUAGAUGGUAGGACACCUGAGGAAGUGUGGACAGGUAGGUUGGCUGACUAUACAUACUUAAAAACCUUUGGUUGUGCAGCAUAUUCACACCAAAGUGAAGGAAAACUUGAGCCUAGAUCCCAGAAAUGUGUUUUUAUGGGAUAUGCUGAAGGAGUGAAGGGGUACAGGCUUUGGGUGAGAAAAAUUGGGGGGUUUUAAGAAGAUAACCAGUAGGAAUGUGACCUUCAAUGAAAAUGAGAUGCCUUGUUUAGAUAAGAAGGCCUCUAGUGAGGAGCUUAAGGGCCAGGAAGAGGAAAAUACUAGGCUGCAGAUAGAACUGUGGAAAAAUCAGGUGAUGAAACAGUUCAAGGACCUGCUGGUGAGUUAGUAAACCCUUUAGGUGAUUAUCAGUUAACUAGAGAUAGGGUUAGAAGAGAAAUAUGAGAGCCUAUUAGGAUGCAAGACUAUUUGUCAGUUGCUAUGUUGUCUUAUCAGGAUUUCACUUUUAAGGAGCCUAAAUCCUAUGAAGAGGCUAUUAGUUGUCAGUCUUCCAAGGAAUGGCAAUUUGCUAUGGAGGAAGAAAUGAGGUCCUUAGUGAAAAAUAAGACCUGGAGCUUAGUGUCUAAACCUGAAAAUAAAUCUCUAGUUGACUGUAAGUGGGUUUAUACUGUUAAAGAAGGAAAUCCUCCUAAUCAGCCCCCUAGGUUUAAAGUCAGAUUAGUGGCUAAGGGGUUUACCUUAAAACCUGGUAUUGAUUAUAAUGAAAUAUUUUCUCCUGUUGUGAAAUAUACUACCAUUAGAGUCAUGCUUGCAUUAGUUGCACAUUAUGAUUAUGAAUUAGAGCAAAUGGAUGUUAAAACUGCGUUUUUGCAUGGAGACCUUGAUGAAACCAUAGAUAUGAGACAGCCACAAGGUCUCAUUGAUAAUAGAAAAUCUGAUCAUGUAUGCCCAUUAAAAAGAUCACUUUAUGGUCUAAAACAAUCCCCUAGGCAAUGGUAUAAAUGUUUUGAUAACUUUGUGUCUUCAGUUGGCUUUGUGAGAAGUUUAUUUGACCAUUGCUUGUAUUUUAAAAGGGAUAACAGCAACUGUGUGACUGUUUAUUUGCUGUUAUAUGUGGAUGAUAUGUUAUUAAUUGGCCAGAAAAUAAGUGAUAUAAAUGAGAUUAAAAAUGUGCUUAGUGCUGAAUUUGAAAUGAAGGACGUUGGGCAUGCUAAAAGGAUUUUAGGGAUGGAUAUUAAAAGGAAUAGGUCCCAGCGGUUAUUAAUGUUGUCACAAACAGAUUAUGUGAAAAAGGUCCUAUCCAAGUUUGCUAUGCAUGAUUCUAAAUCUGUGACAUUACCCCUUGCAUGUCAUUUUAAGUUGAGUAAAGAUCAGUCUCCGCAUGAUGAAUCUGACAUUAAAUAAUUGGAAAAGUGUCAUAUUCAAAUGCUGUUGGAUCUGAAAUGUACACCAUGGUUUGCACACGACCCGAUGUUGCACAUGCUAUAAGUACUUUAAGUAUGUUUAUGUCCAACCCUGGCCUUGAACAUUGGAAUGCAAUGAAAUAGUUAUUAAUGUACUUGAAAGGCUCAGCAGACUUAUGCUUAUGUUUUAGAUCUAGUAAAGAGGGAGUUAGUUUAAAGGGAUACGUAGAUUCUGACUAUGCUGGUGAUAGAGAUAACAGGAAAUCAACUACUACUUAUGUGUUUACUUUGUGUGAUACUUGUAUAAGUUGGAAGUCUCAAUUGCAAUCAAUUGUAGCCUUAUCAACUACUGAGGUAGAAUAUGUGGCUGCAACUGAGGCCGUUAAAGAGCCCUUAUGGCUGAAAGGUCUUCUAAGUGAGGUAAAAGAAUCUGUUGAUUCUGUUGUUGUAUACUCUGAUAGUCAAAGUGCUAUACAUUUAUGUAAAAAUCCAGUUUUUCAUGAAAAAACUAAACAUAUAGAUGUGAGGAUGUAUUUUAUUAGAGAUAUUGUGGAAAAAGAAUCUAUUUUGCUUGAGAAAAUCCCUACUCAAUUUAACCCCGCUGAUAUGGGUACUAAGGUACUUCCUCUAAUUAAGUUUAAGUCAUGUUUGCAACUCCUAAGAAUUGAUACUGGGUAAACUUUGUGUUUGUUCAAGUGUAUUUGGCUUGGUGUUGAUGAUCUGGGAAGAAUUAUACCAAUUGCUUGAAAAGUCUUUUGUUAUAUAUUUUUUUUUCUUUGUCUUUGUGAGUUUGGAUCAUUGGCAUCAAGGGGGAGAUUUAUUGGGCUGUGAUGCCAAAUAAAUAUAUGUGUGUCCAACCCAUUUGGGCAAUGAUGAUAUUAAAAGGUCCAACAGACACUACCCAACCCAUUGCCCAAUAAUUCAAUGUUGAAAAAGCAACUAAAACCCGGCCCAAACCCAAUAACCCACGUGUGUCGCUCUGGACCCUUUGAUAUACUUAACCUAACAUCUGCGAUGAUGACCCAUUAAUAUAUAAACGGGGUCUGAGUCUUUUGACCCUAAUUCGAGUCAUAUUUUACUCUACCUCUUCGUGAUAUUUUCUCUCGAACCUUCUGGGUUUCUCUCUUCGUGACUCUGUGUCUUCUGCCUCUUAUCCUUCUUCGUAAAUCUUGUGAUUUAGCCACUAAACCUCUGGUUUUCUGGCCACUGUGUGUGCUUCUAGUCUGUGUGACUGUUCGGUUGUGAUUUGUGGAGAGUUUCCCGUUCGUGUUUGAGUGAUUUGGGUCCAUUGUAGCGAUUGCCUCUGUGUUUGUGGUUUGGGACUGUGGUUUAUGAGUUUUCACAUUGUACAAAUGGGUACAAUGCGUGAUCUGAGCCCGAAUCUAUGAAAAUCUUGAUGCCUUUGGUUUGAGAGUUUUCGGUCAUUUGUUGAGUCGGUUUUGGGCCUUUUCUUGUAACAACUGUUGGGAAUUUACUUAAACAUGCACAGCGGAAUUUAACAAAUUUCAAUUCUCAUUCAGGAUUUAGCUUUAUAUUUAGAUAAAAACUGUGAUAAGAAAUAUACCUUUUCUUUUAAUUUGCAAACUCCUUCGCGUUAUUCCUUUCCAGAAGCUUGAAUCUGCCUCCCACAGCUGUCCAAUUGUCUAGCCUCCAAUGAAAUCCACACAGAGAAUAGACUGCAACUGCUAGGGUUUUCUCUUGUGCCAACAAGAAUAAUGAAAACCUUAUGGACCUCAAACCCUAGCUAUGUAUUUAUAUAAACUCAAACGGACCCGGCCCGGUUCGGUCCGGUCCGAUAUUUAAUUAAUCCAAUUAAUUAAACCCGGUCCGUGAAUUAAUUAAUCCAAUUAAUUAAUUCGGGAAUAUAAAUAACAAAUCCAAUUAAUUAAUUUAUCCAACGAUUGUUAAAUUAACCAAUUGGCAAUUUGCAAUCUUCCAAUUCUCUUUUGUGUGCGACCCAUUAGGUUCCCGACCACGAUGCCUAACGACGUAAAAUAUUAUUUUGACCUAAUCAAAAUUGAUAAAUUAAAACACCAUUUUAAUUUAUCAUCAAUUCACACUCGCCGUCCCUGAUUGACAUCUAGAAAUGUGUCAGGGCAAUACAUGUGACGGGAAAUGUCACGUGGUAUGACAAAAUCAAAUUCGUUCGUUUACCGUGAAACUAUAAUCCCUUCGUCAAUAUGAUCUGAUCAAUUACGAGAUAUGGAAUCGUGUCAAUCUCGAUCAUCAAUCAUAUCUUUCACUCCACUAUUAAGUCAAUAUAAAUCGAAAACUCCUUUUCGACUUAUGAGUACACCUUGGCCAAGGAUUUCAUCAUCAACUUAAUUGAAUGAAACGCAGAUCAUAAUCUCCUACUAUCUAAGAGUGACGAAUCCUUUAUUGAUCAAUCACAACCUUCAUACGAUUCUUGACGUACCCGAACGAUGUCGUAUUAGCGGCCUUUUUCAGAGCAACAUCCAACACCGCCAAAGUAUGACUGUCCUCAUAUAAGGUACCAUGACGACCUCAAGUCAAAUGACCAAUUCCACUACCGAACGUUAGAGAUUAACCACUGACACUCAGAUAGUUAUCCAUGUGGAAUCUCUUAGCGGAUCUCUAAUAUUUUGUUCUAUAAUAAAACAUCUACGUGUUUAUUUAAGUGUCACCACACUUUAGCUCGUGAGAUCAGCUACUUACUUUACAAGUAAGAAAUGCCACACGUGAUGGUCUAACUGUAUUAACGAUAUCCGUAUCUCGUUAUUACUUACGACUACGGUUUAUUCAAAAUCUAAUUAUAUGUAAUUUGUAUCUCACAAUCACAACUUCUUGUGAUUAACAGAUCACCUAAAAUUGGAUCUUCGGAUUCUAUUAUUUAAUAUUAUUUAUCACAAAAUUAAUUUAAAUAAAUAAUAGAUCUCGCCAAAAUCAAAUGCGUUAAACAUAUUAAAAGCGUUUACAACCUAAAUCGAUUGGAUUUAGGGCAUAACACUUACAACAACUUCUUUGGAUAUGAACUUGUGAGAUUUAUAAUUGGAAAGCUCUCCUUACUAAAUAUACAAAACAUCUUGAUGCACAGAGAUACUGAGCAAACGACUGCCAUGGAAGCAAUGUAAGACAGUAAGAGGCUUCUGCUGCAAAAACUUUACUUCAAUGUCUAAGGUAUUAUCUUCAAAGAGAAAUCUCGAAAACUUGUCAAUUUCCUUUAUUCGAAAUAGUUUUAGGGUAUACCUGCUAGUUAUCAAUUGGUAUUGAGUUCUUGGCAGCAUUUCGUAGGAUAAAGAACCCAGAUGAAAAAUGCAUAUUCCAGUUCUCAUAUAACCUCCACUCUUUGUUGUUUGCUAGCAUAUGAGAAAGAGUACCCAUUAUGAGAUUUAAAUUUCUUAGAACCGUUUUCCUUCUAUUCUUCCAAAUCACUUCAUCCAAUCAGGUAUUUCUGUACUUCAAUUUAGUUGGAGGCGACAUGUCUUGAACUUCAACUGAAACUUGAAAUAUGCCAUCUGUUUUCCUAACGUUAUAGUUAAGUUAAUUCAUUAGUAAUUAAGGACUCUUGUUGAUUCUUCAAAAUAUGUGCCAGCAAGCAGAAUCCACAGGACAAUGAAAAUGAAGUAGAGAAGCUGCACAAAAGUUCUGCUCAAAAUUGCAGGAGAAUAAAUUGAACAGGCAAGUCUAUAACAUUAGAUUUGGUAUUGGAAAAAAAUUUCAUACGUUGGCCAAUUUGUUAGUAAAUUUGUAAUCUCCGUAGCCAGACUUCCCAUUAAUAUGUAUGUAAAAAUUUUCAUAUUAGACAUUGGAGCUACCAUACCCCUGAAGCUAGAUGGAAUGCUAAGUUUUACUGAAUACGAGAAGAAGUAUUCGGACGAAGCAGCAGAAUUGAAGUCUAUCAUUACUGGUGAUCUACCUUCUCAUUGGGAGAAAGCUCUUCCAGUGAGUAGUUAUUAGCACUUUUGUUAUUCUUUACUUGUCUUUUGAGCUUUCCUUUGUGCAAUAUUUGAAAUUAGAGAGAUGCUUGAUAUGUGAAGAAUCAAAGAUUUAGAAUGUAC